UACGGAGGGUGCGAGCGUUGUCCGGAAUCACUGGGCGUAAAGGGCGCGUAGGCGGCCUGAUAAGUAGGGGGUGAAAUCCUGCGGCUUAACCGCAGGGCUGCCUUCUAAACUGUCAGGCUUGAGCACAGUAGAGGCAGGUGGAAUUCCCGGUGUAGCGGUGGAAUGCGUAGAGAUCGGGAAGAACAUCAGUGGCGAAGGCGGCCUGCUGGGCUGUUGCUGACGCUGAGGCGCGACAGCGUGGGG
rnacentral:rRNA from 1 species